CUACCAGCCACCGCCAUGACAAGCAACAUGUGAAGAUGCUGGACCCUGCCUCCAUGUAAGAAACGUGACUGGCCUGAAACGAUGAGCUGUGAGAAACCCAGAGCACCAGGAGAGACCCUGGAGAAUAAGAUGCCAUGGAGGCACAGAGGUCAAGUACCGGCUCCAGACAAUGCCUGCCGCCAUGGAGAGGACAGGGGUGGGCGCUACUUUCUGAGACAGGAGGAUGCCUUCUGCAGCACGGACCCUCAACCCAGCUAGGACUGAGGCUGGCAUCUUCUUCAUUUAGAAGGAAGGUGGAGUGGUCCACCUUGCUGUCUCCUGCUGUGGUCUUCUUCCUUUGGCCGAUGGAAUCCACUCGAUGUGAAAGGCUGCAAGUCCCAGUUCCUCCCUCUGGGCAGCAAGUCCUGACCAACAAUAUUCAAAAGUGUAGCAUCAAGUCCAGAUGAGAAGGGAUGAUGGAGGAGGACAGGGAAGAAGCCAGGGCAUGUUGGCUCCUCAAAGAACUUCACAGGGGUGGAGUUGCCAUGGCAGCCUUUCUCUCCCUUUUCUGGUGGGGCAGUCUCUUCACCAUGCCAACACCAUUGAGGGCACAGACACUUGUGUCCCCAGUGGUCAUGCUGCCAGUUCACACCUUCCUUCAUAGUGCUGCCAGUUCACACCUUCAUUGUGCUGCCAGUUCACACCCUCAUUCUUAAGGCAUCAGUGACGUUUCUCACCCAGACUUUACCUACUAGGCUUUGUUUCCAAAAUGCAGGGGCUCCAGAUCUCUCAGCUUGCCCUGCACAGUUAGCAGACCUGUAGGCCUUCCCUCAGGCAUGAGUGGAACAUUCACAUCCAAUUCCAUGCUGACCUACUCCCUGCCUCCUCAAAACCAGCGUAUUGAAUCAAUCUAGACUUCUCCACUCUGCCCUGAGAAAGUAACUCCCCCUGAAUACAGCCUUCUACUAAGAUUGAACCCAAAGUACAAGAUCUUUGAAUAAUUCACCUUCAUAUCUAACAUUGGUUGAGCGAUUACUGUGUGUAGAUUCUUGAGUUAAGCUCUUUUUCAUUGGUUUGUUUUCGAAGACAGGGUUUCUCUGUAUAGCCCUGGCUGUCUUAGAAUGUGCACUGUAGACUAGGCUGGCCUCGAACUCACAGAUCUGCCUGCCUGAAUACUGAUAUUAAAGGCAUGCCACCACCACCUGGCUGAUUAAAGGUCUUUAUGAAGGGAUUUAUUUCCCCCCAACAACAUGGAUGUCGCCAUAUUUCUUUCAUGAUCCUCAUUUUAACGUCUCCAAACUUGGUGCAUCUUACUAUAAAUAGGGCAGCCAGUUUAAUGGACAGCAAGCUUUCCUGCCUCAGUGGUACAUUAUGCAACACAGCAGUUCUCACUGACGCCAUCUUAGAUUAGGAGAAGAUGGAAUCGGAAACAGUCCACGUAGCACAACGUCCUCCAUCUGCCAAUCCCGGUCGGGGAGCCAGUAAUGCCGAGACUCUCAGACGUCUCCUUGUGAGAGUCGGCACCCCUCUGGGACUCUGCUACCCUGAUCGUCGUUACACAAGGAACAUUAAUCACACCAUGGAAUAUGCAGCUUAGAGAACACAAGUAAGGAUCCUGGGAGCAGUGGUCCCUCAGUCAGAAGUACCGGAUUCUCAUCUUACCUGCUCAGUGUGGGAUGAAGAAGGAGGCCCACACUACCCCCUGCAGGCCUCUAGUCAUCUUGCCCAGGAACAAGUCCUCUGGGGGGAAUGGAGGGCUUUACCAGAGUGGGUGGGAGCUGUCUUUUGUCCCUGGAACCUGACUGUACUCCUGGCAGCUCUGUGAUCUUGGACAAGUGGCUUUAUCGCU